AGAGAGAGAGAGAGAGAGAGAGAAAGAGUAAAGGAUAGCAAGGGAUAGAGUGUUCUACUCCACCAUCUAAGUAUGUGAUGAAAAGUUGCAAAGGAAAUUUGUUUGCUAAAAGAAGAGAAAUCAUUGUGUUAAAGAAGAUGAAGUCAAAAACCAUGAAGAUUAUAUCAGUGAACUCAUUAGGAGGUUGAACUAUGCUUUUAAAGAUUAUGGUUUAUUUUAGUAGUCUUGGUACCAAUGUUUGUUCUUAUGUUAGAAUUAGAAAUUCUUAUUGAAAUAUUUUGAUAUAAUUAACAAGUUUAUGUGUAA